AGAACGAACGCUGGCGGCAGGCUUAACACAUGCAAGUCGAGCGCCCCGCAAGGGGAGCGGCAGACGGGUGAGUAACGCGUGGGAACAUACCCUCCGGUUCGGAAUAGCUCAGGGAAACUUGGAUUAAUACCGGAUACGGCCUAGCGGCGAAAGAUUCAUCGCCGGAGGAUUGGCCCGCGUUCGAUUAGCUAGUUGGUGAGGUAACGGCUCACCAAGGCGACGAUCGAUAGCUGGUCUGAGAGGAUGAUCAGCCACAUUGGGACUGAGACACGGCCCAAACUCCUACGGGAGGCAGCAGUGGGGAUAUUGGACAAUGGGCGCAAGCCUGAUCCAGCCAUGCCGCGUGAGUGAUGACGGCCUUAGGGUUGUAAAGCUCUUUCGCUAGGGACGAUAAUGACGGUACCUAGACAAGAAGCCCGGCUAACUUCGCGCCAGCAGCCGC
rnacentral:rRNA from 1 species